rnacentral:precursor_RNA from 12 species
UGGCUGCAUUUUCAACUGCUGAGUUCCCACUGUCCGGCCUGAAGACACAUUGUGUGACCCUUUCAAACUAUGUAUUUUCAGACCUGAGUGGGCCCUUAGUACACACAUCAUCUUCUUCC